rnacentral:rRNA from 1 species
UGGGGAAUUUUGGACAAUGGGCGAAAGCCCGAUCCAGCAAUGCCGCGUGUGUGAAGAAGGCCUUCGGGUUGUAAAGCACUUUUGUCCGGAAAGAAAUCCUCUGGGUUAAUACCUCGGGGGGAUGACGGUACCGGAAGAAUAAGCACCGGCUAACUACGUGCCAGCAGCCGCGGUAAUACGUAGGGUGCAAGCGUUAAUCGGAAUUACUGGGCGUAAAGCGCGCGCAGGCGGUUUUGUAAGACGGAUGUGAAAUCCCCGGGCUUAACCUGGGAACUGCAUUCGUGACUGCAAGGCUAGAGUAUGGCAGAGGGGGGUAGAAUUCCACGUGUAGCAGUGAAAUGCGUAGAGAUGUGGAGGAAUACCGAUGGCGAAGGCAGCCCCCUGGGCCAAUACUGACGCUCAUGCACGAAAGCGUGGGGAGCAAACAGGAUUAGAUACCCUGGUAGUCCACGCCCUAAAACGAUGUCAACUAGUUGUUGGGGAUUCAUUUCCUUAGUAACGUAGCUAACGCGUGAAGUUGACCGCCUGGGGAGUACGGUCGCAAGAUUAAAACUUAAAUGAAUUGACGGGGUCAUAGCUGUUUCCU